rnacentral:rRNA from 1 species
AUUGAACGCUGGCGGCAGGCCUAACACAUGCAAGUCGAACGAGUGGCGGACGGGUGGGUACUGUCUGGGAACCUGCCCGAUGGAGGGGGAUAACUACUGGAAACGGUAGCUAAUACCGCAUACCAUCAGAUGUGCCCAGAUGGGAUUAGCUAGUUGGUGGGGUAAUGGCUCACCUAGGCGACGAUCCCUAGCUGGUAUGAGAGGAUGACCAGCCACACUGGAACUGAGACACGGUCCAGACUCCUACGGGAGGCAGCAGUGGGGAAUAUUGGACAAUGGGCGCAAGCCUGAUGCAGCCAUGCCGCGUGUAUGAAGAAGGCCUUCGGGUUGUAAAGUACUUUCAGCGGGGAGGCGUUACCCGAAGAAGAAGCACCGGCUAACUCCGUGCCAGCAGCCGCGGUAAUAC